ACUCUAAGCGGUGGAUCACUCGGCUCAUGGGUCGAUGAAGAACGCAGCAAACUGUGCGUCAUCGUGUGAACUGCAGGACACAUGAACAUCGACAUUUUGAACGCAUAUCGCAGUCCAUGCUGUUAUGUACUUUAAUUAAUUUUAUAGUGCUGCUUGGACUACAUAUGGUUGAGGGUUGUAAGACUAUGCUAAUUAAGUUGCUUAUAAAUUUUUAUAAGCAUAUGGUAUAUUAUUGGAUAAAUAUAAUAAUUUUUAUUCAUAAUAUUAAAAAAUAAAUGAAAAACAUUAUCUCACAUUUGAAUGUGAAAAACGAAGAGAAAUAUUUUCUUUUUCAAUCAAAUAAUACUGAGAAAUGUCUAGCAUAAAAAAUUGAAAUAUUUUUCAUCUAGAAUUGUCUCUUAUUAAUGAUUCGGAAAUAGAAAAAUCUUGGUUAUGUUAUUAUUCUUCGUUGGUUCGUUAAAAAUGGAUAAAUAAAAACUUUGCAUACAAGAAUUAAUAAAAAUGUUAUAACGAAUUUAAUUAAAUGUUUUAUCAUUAUAUAUAAAGAAUUUAUGGCAAGAUAAAGUUAUAUACAACCUCAACUCAUAUGGGACUACCCCCUGAAUUUAAGCAUAUUAAUUAGGGGAGGAAAAGAAACUAACAAGGAUUUUCUUAGUAGCGGCGAGCGAAAAGAAAACAGUUCAGCACUAAGUCACUUUGUCUAUAUGGCAAAUGUGAGAUGCAGUGUAUGGAGCGUCAAUAUUCUAGUAUGAGAAAUUAACGAUUUAAGUCCUUCUUAAAUGAGGCCAUUUACCCAUAGAGGGUGCCAGGCCCGUAUAACGUUAAUGAUUACUAGAUGAUGUUUCCAAAGAGUCGUGUUGCUUGAUAGUGCAGCACUAAGUGGGUGGUAAACUCCAUCUAAAACUAAAUAUAACCAUGAGACCGAUAGUAAACAAGUACCGUGAGGGAAAGUUGAAAAGAACUCUGAAUAGAGAGUUAAACAGUACGUGAAACUGCUUAGAGGUUAAGCCCGAUGAACCUGAAUAUCCGUUAUGGAAAAUUCAUCAUUAAAAUUGUAAUAUUUAAAUAAUAUUAUGAGAAUAGUGUGCAUUUUUUCCAUAUAAGGACAUUGUAAUCUAUUAGCAUAUACCAAAUUUAUCAUAAAAUAUAACUUAUAGUUUAUUCCAAUUAAAUUGCUUGCAUUUUAACACAGAAUAAAUGUUAUUAAUUUGAUAAAGUGCUGAUAGAUUUAUAUGAUUACAGUGCGUUAAUUUUUCGGAAUUAUAUAAUGGCAUAAUUAUCAUUGAUUUUUGUGUUUAUUAUAUGCACUUGUAUGAUUAACAAUGCGAAAGAUUCAGGAUACCUUCGGGACCCGUCUUGAAACACGGACCAAGGAGUCUAACAUAUGUGCAAGUUAUUGGGAUAUAAACCUAAUAGCGUAAUUAACUUGACUAAUAAUGGGAUUAGUUUUUUAGCUAUUUAUAGCUAAUUAACACAAUCCCGGGGCGUUCUAUAUAGUUAUGUAUAAUGUAUAUUUAUAUUAUUUAUGCCUCUAACUGGAACGUACCUUGAGCAUAUAUGCUGUGACCCGAAAGAUGGUGAACUAUACUUGAUCAGGUUGAAGUCAGGGGAAACCCUGAUGGAAGACCGAAACAGUUCUGACGUGCAAAUCGAUUGUCAGAAUUGAGUAUAGGGGCGAAAGACCAAUCGAACCAUCUAGUAGCUGGUUCCUUCCGAAGUUUCCCUCAGGAUAGCUGGUGCAUUUUAAUAUUAUAUAAAAUAAUCUUAUCUGGUAAAGCGAAUGAUUAGAGGCCUUAGGGUCGAAACGAUCUUAACCUAUUCUCAAACUUUAAAUGGGUAAGAACCUUAACUUUCUUGAUAUGAAGUUCAAGGUUAUGAUAUAAUGUGCCCAGUGGGCCACUUUUGGUAAGCAGAACUGGCGCUGUGGGAUGAACCAAACGUAAUGUUACGGUGCCCAAAUUAACAACUCAUGCAGAUACCAUGAAAGGCGUUGGUUGCUUAAAACAGCAGGACGGUGAUCAUGGAAGUCGAAAUCCGCUAAGGAGUGUGUAACAACUCACCUGCCGAAGCAACUAGCCCUUAAAAUGGAUGGCGCUUAAGUUGUAUACCUAUACAUUACCGCUAAAGUAGAUGAUUUAUAUUACUUGUGAUAUAAAUUUUGAAACUUUAGUGAGUAGGAAGGUACAAUGGUAUGCGUAGAAGUGUUUGGCGUAAGCCUGCAUGGAGCUGCCAUUGGUACAGAUCUUGGUGGUAGUAGCAAAUAAUCGAAUGAGACCUUGGAGGACUGAAGUGGAGAAGGGUUUCGUGUGAACAGUGGUUGAUCACGAGUUAGUCGGUCCUAAGUUCAAGGCGAAAGCCGAAAAUUUUCAAGUAAAACAAAAAUGCCUAACUAUAUAAACAAAGCGAAUUAUAAUACACUUGAAUAAUUUUGAACGAAAGGGAAUACGGUUCCAAUUCCGUAACCUGUUGAGUAUCCGUUUGUUAUUAAAUAUGGGCCUCGUGCUCAUCCUGGCAACAGGAACGACCAUAAAGAAGCCGUCGAGAGAUAUCGGAAGAGUUUUCUUUUCUGUUUUAUAGCCGUACUACCAUGGAAGUCUUUCGCAGAGAGAUAUGGUAGAUGGGCUAGAAGAGCAUGACAUAUACUGUUGUGUCGAUAUUUUCUCCUCGGACCUUGAAAAUUUAUGGUGGGGACACGCAAACUUCUCAACAGGCCGUACCAAUAUCCGCAGCUGGUCUCCAAGGUGAAGAGUCUCUAGUCGAUAGAAUAAUGUAGGUAAGGGAAGUCGGCAAAUUAGAUCCGUAACUUCGGGAUAAGGAUUGGCUCUGAAGAUUGAGAUAGUCGGGCUUGAUUGGGAAACAAUAACAUGGUUUAUGUGCUCGUUCUGGGUAAAUAGAGUUUCUAGCAUUUAUGUUAGUUACUUGUUCCCCGGAUAGUUUAGUUACGUAGCCAAUUGUGGAACUUUCUUGCUAAAAUUUUUAAGAAUACUAUUUGGGUUAAACCAAUUAGUUCUUAUUAAUUAUAACGAUUAUCAAUUAACAAUCAAUUCAGAACUGGCACGGACUUGGGGAAUCCGACUGUCUAAUUAAAACAAAGCAUUGUGAUGGCCCUAGCGGGUGUUGACACAAUGUGAUUUCUGCCCAGUGCUCUGAAUGUCAAAGUGAAGAAAUUCAAGUAAGCGCGGGUCAACGGCGGGAGUAACUAUGACUCUCUUAAGGUAGCCAAAUGCCUCGUCAUCUAAUUAGUGACGCGCAUGAAUGGAUUAACGACGGACGUGUUUUCGUUG
rnacentral:rRNA from 1 species